rnacentral:misc_RNA from 1 species
GAUGAAGAACGCAGUGAAAUGCGAUAAGUAGUGUGAAUUGCAGAAUUCAGUGAAUCAUCGAAUCUUUGAACGCACAUUGCGCCCUUUGGUAUUCCAAAGGGCAUGCCUGUUCGAGCGUCAUUUGUACCCUCAAGCUUUGCUUGGUGUUGGGCGUCUUGUCUCUAGCUUUGCUGGAGACUCGCCUUAAAGUAAUUGGCAGCCGGCCUACUGGUUUCGGAGCGCAGCACAAGUCGCACUCUCUAUCAGCAAAGGUCUAGCAUCCAUUAAGCCUUUUUUUCCACUUUUGACCUCGGAUCAGGUAGGGAUACCCGCUGAACUUAAGCAUAUCAAUAAGCGGAGGA